UACAGAGGGUGCGAGCGUUAUUCGGCAUCACUGGGCUUAAAGGGUGCGUAGGCGGCUUUGCAAGUUGGGUGUGAAAGCCCUCGGCUCAACCGAGGAAUUGCGCUCAAUACUGCCGAGCUCGAGAGAGACAGAGGUAAGCGGAACUAAUGGUGGAGCGGUGAAAUGCGUUGAUAUCAUUAGGAACACCGGUGGCGAAGGCGGCUUACUGGGUCUUUUCUGACGCUGAGGCACGAAAGCCAGGGGAGCGAACGGG
rnacentral:rRNA from 1 species